AUCUCAGCCUUUCAAAGGCUUUGGCGGCUGCAUGUUUAAGAAAAUCUCAUCCGUUUAUCGCCCAACAAAGGCUUUUUUUCUUUUUGGUUAAAACUUCUCCUUUUUCUUCUUUUCUUCGUAUCCUUCAAGUCUUCAACUCUUACAUUCUUAUGAGAAAACCAAACGUUUGCUUACAGUUUCUUCACAUGUGGAUCACGGUUGCUACUUUUAUUGAUUCCGAGCUGUUAGAGUACGGUGGCUCAAGGCGGAUUUCAAUUGUGUAUUUGGGUUUUACAUGUCCGGUCAUCUCCGUGAUGGAUAUCUAGCGGCAGAUCUCGCAUCUGAGGGUGGUGACAACGAGAACAAUUCUCCGGUUGCGUCGGUUAGGCUUUUAGGGUUAAAUCCGGUGUCUUAGAUUUGCCUUUGGCAGGAUUAACGAAAUUCAUUGCCAUCUCCGACUCGAAUCUGAGAGAACCAAAGAAGAAGACGAAGAAGAAGAAUGGUCUGUCGAAGUUGAAGAUGAAGAUGGUAGGCGACAGAUCCGGUUGAGGACUGUUCUCUUUGUAGCUGGCAAGUAACAAGCUUCAUCGAACGUGAGCAGAUCUCAUUGUGGCGGCGAGUAGGAAGCUUCAUCCGACGGGAAGAUCGAACGACCGUCGCCGUGCCGUUAUUUUGUCACUGUAACCACUUGUGUAAACUGAAAACCCUAAUUUGUUAAUGGGCUCUGGGCUUUUUGUUUGUAAAAUUGUUAGUUAGGCUUAUUAAUGGGUUUUGUAUUAUAUAUUUGUAAUCCAUUUUUUAUUUUUGGUCUAAUUCGGUUCGAAAUAACCGAGAUAAAAAAAAAUUCGGUUUAUUUCGGAA